AUAUCAGUCAUGCAUAGCAUAUCAAUAAGGCGGAGGAAAAGAAACUAACAAGGAUUCCCUUAGUAACGGCGAGUGAAGCGGGAAGAGCUCAAAUUUGAAAUCUUCAAGGUUUUACCUUGACGAAUUGUAGUUUAAAGAAGUGUUUUCUGUUGAAGUUUUGGUAAAAGUUCUUUGGAAUAGGACAUCAUAGAGGGUGAGAAUCCCGUAUUUGACCAUUACUUUCAGCUUUGUGAUACACUUUCAAAGAGUCGGAUUGUUUGGGAAUGCAGUCCAAAAUGGGUGGUAAAUUUCAUCUAAAGCUAAAUAUUGGCGAGAGACCGAUAGCGAACAAGUACCGUGAGGGAAAGAUGAAAAGAACUUUGAAAAGAGAGUUAAACAGUACGUGAAAUUGUCAAAAGGGAAGCGUUUGACACCAGUGUUGUUUUCUCGAAAAUCAAUUAAAAAGAGUUGGAUUUUGUGUUGUAUUGACUUUAUCAGGCUUUCUUCACUCUUUUCCAGCUUUUUUUAAUGCACUUUUCGUUUAACAAGUCAACAUCAGUUUCUUUUGUUGUAAAAAGGUCAUUGGAAGGUGGCUUUCUCUUCGGAGAAAGUGUUUAUAGCCUUUGACUCAUGCAAUCGGAGAGACUGAGGUCUGCAGCGUAGAUCCUUCGGGGUUAGAUACAUUUGUGCUAAGUUAUAGCUUUUCAUAGACAACUUGUUGACUAUGUUUAGUCUUGUAGCUUACUCGCUUAUGCUAUUUUACCUACGCUUAGGAUGUUGAACUCUAUCACACACAG
rnacentral:rRNA from 1 species